GGUUCCAUGGUGUAGUGGUUAGCAUUUUGGACUUUGAAUCCAACGACCUGGGUUCAACUCCCGGUGGGACCU